UGGGGAAUCUUGGACAAUGGGGGCAACCCUGAUCCAGCAAUACCGCGUGUGUGAAGAAGGCCUUCGGGUUGUAAAGCACUUUAAGUGGGGAAGAAAGCGAUGCGAGGAAUAUUCGCGUUGUGUGACGGUACCCACAGAAUAAGCACCGGCUAACUCUGUGCCAGCAGCCGCGGUAAUACAGAGGGUGCAAGCGUUAAUCAGAAUGACUGGGCGUAAAGGGCGUGUAGGUGGUUGACUAGGUUUGAUGUGAAAUCCCCGGGCUUAACCUGGGAAUGGCGUCGAAAACGGGUUGACUGGAGUGAGAGAGAGGGUUGUGGAAUUUCCGGUGUAGCGGUGAAAUGCGUAGAUAUCGGAAAGAACAUCAGUGGCGAAGGCGACAACCUGGCUCUUAACUGACACU
rnacentral:rRNA from 1 species